UCGUUAGCUCAGUCGGUAGAGUAGUUGACUUUUAAUCAAUGGGUCGCAGGUUCGAGCCGAGCGAAGCGAGACA
rnacentral:tRNA from 1 species